rnacentral:rRNA from 1 species
UACGAAGGGGGCUAGCGUUGCUCGGAAUCACUGGGCGUAAAGGGUGCGUAGGCGGCUCUUUAAGUCAGUGGUGAAAUCCUGGAGCUCAACUCCAGAACUGCCUUUGAUACUGAGGAUCUUGAGUACGGGAGAGGUGAGUGGAACUGCGAGUGUAGAGGUGAAAUUCGUAGAUAUUCGCAAGAACACCAGUGGCGAAGGCGGCUCACUGGCCCGUAACUGACGCUGAGGCACGAAAGCGUGGGGAGCAAACAGG